rnacentral:rRNA from 1 species
UUUAAGGUCUAACCUGCCCAAUGAGGAUUUAAAUGGCCGCAGUAUUUUGACUGUGCAAAGGUAGCAUAAUUAUUAGUUUUUUAAUUGAAAGCUUGUAUGAAGGGUUGGACGAAAUAAAAUCUGUCUCUAUUUAAAUUAAAGUAGAAUUUAACUUUUAAGUCAAAAGGCUUAAAUUUAUAUAAAAGACGAGAAGACCCUAUAGAUCUUAAUUUAAUUAAUAUUUUAAUGUAUUAGGAUUAUUUAAAUUUAAAAUUUUAAUUAAAUUUUAUUGGGGUAAUAUAAAGAUUAAAUAAAUUCUUUUUAUUAAAAACAUUGAUUUAUGAAUAUAUGAUCCAUUAUUAUUGAUUAUAAGAUUAAGUUACCUUAGGGAUAACAGCGUAAUUUUUUUGGAGAGCUCUUAUCGAUAAAAAGGUUUGCGACCUCGAUGUUGGAUUAAAAAUUAGCUUGGGUGUAGAAGUUCAAGUUCUUGGUCUGUUCGACCAUUAAAUUUUUACAUGAUCUGAGUUCAGACCGGCGUGAGCCAGGUCGGUUUCUAUCUUUAUUUAAUAAAAAUAUUUUAGUACGAAAGGACCAAAUAUUUAAUAUAAUAAUAUUUAAACUUUGAAUAAUAUUAUUACUUUGGCAGAAUAGUGCAAUGAAUUUAGAAUUCAUGAAUGUAAUAUUUAUUACAGGUAAUACUUGUAUUUGGGAGAUUUGUUGCUUAUGGUAUUGUGUAUAAUUAUUUUAGUAGUUUGUGUAUUAGUGGGAGUAGCUUUUUUAACCUUACUUGAACGUAAAGUAUUGGGUUAUAUUCAAAUUCGA